AUUGAACGCUGGCGGAAGGCCUAACACAUGCAAGUCGAGCGGAGCGGCGGACGGGUGAGUAAUGCCUAGGAAUCUGCCUGGUAGUGGGGGAUAACGUCCGGAAACGGGCGCUAAUACCGCAUACUAUCAGAUGAGCCUAGGUAGGAUUAGCUAGUUGGUGGGGUAAAUGCCUACCAAGGCGACGAGCAGUAACUGGUCUGAGAGGAUGAUUAGGCAACCUGGAACUGGGACCCGGUCCAGACUCCUUCGUGCGGUAGCAGUGGGGAAUUUUGGACAAUUGGCGAAAGCCGUAUCCAGCCCUGCCGCGGGUGUGAAGAAGGUCUUCCGAUUGGAAAGGACUUUAAGUUGGGAGGCGUUACCAACAGAAUAAGCACCGGCUAACUUCGUGCCAGCAGCCGCGGUAAUUC
rnacentral:rRNA from 1 species